rnacentral:rRNA from 1 species
UACGUAGGGAGCGAGCGUUGUCCGGAAUCAUUGGGCGUAAAGAGCAUGUAGGUGGAUCAAUUAGUCUGCUGUGAAAGUCAAAGGCUCAACCUUUGAAAGCCGGUGGAUACUGUUGAUCUAGAGUACGGAAGAGGCGAGUGGAAUUCCUGGUGUAGCGGUGGAAUGCGCAGAUAUCAGGAGGAACACCAAUAGCGAAGGCAGCUCGCUGGGACGUAACUGACACUGAGACGCGAAAGCGUGGGGAGCAAACAGG